rnacentral:tRNA from 2 species
GGAGAGGUGGCCGAGUGGACGAAGGCACUCGCUUGCUAAGCGAGCGUACCCUAACCCGGUACCGCGGGUUCGAAUCCCGCCCUCUCCG